CCUACGGGAGGCAGCAGUGAGGAAUAUUGGUCAAUGGACGCGAGUCUGAACCAGCCAAGUAGCGUGAAGGAUGACUGCCCUAUGGGUUGUAAACUUCUUUUAUAAAGGAAUAAAACGAGGCACGUGUGCCUUUUUGCAUGUACUUUAUGAAUAAGGAUCGGCUAACUACGUGCCAGCAGCCGCGGUAAUACGUAGGUGGCAAGCGUUGUCCGGAUUUAUUGGGUGUAAAGGGCGUGCAGCCGGGAAGACAAGUCAGAUGUGAAAUCCCGCGGCUCAACCGCAGAACUGCAUUUGAGACUGUUUUUCUUGAGGACCGUAGAGGUCAUCGGAAUUCGUUGUGUAGCGGUGAAAUGCUUAGAUAUAAGGAAGAACACCAGUGGCGAAGGCGGAUGACUGGACGGCAACUGACGGUGAGGCGCGAAAGCGUGGGGAGCAAACAGGAUUAGAUACCCCAGUAGUC
rnacentral:rRNA from 1 species